CCUACGGGAGGCAGCAGUGAGGAAUAUUGGACAAUGGACGGAAGUCUGAACCAGCGAUGCCGCGUGCAGGAAGACGGCUCUAUGAGUUGUAAACUGCUUUUGUACAGAGGUAAACCUGAAUACGUGUAUUCAGCUGACAGUCCUGUACGAAUAAGGAUCGGCUAACUAUGGGCCAGCAGCCGCGGUAAUACGGAGGAUCCAAGCGUUAGCCGGAUUUAUUGGGGUUAAAGGGUGCGUAGGCGGAUUGAUAAGUUAGAGGUGAAAUGUGCGAGCUCAACUCGGGAACUGCCUCUAAUACUGUUGAGCUAGAGAGUAGAUGCGGUAGGCGGAAUGUAUGGUGUAGCGGUGAAAUGCUUAGAGAUCAUACAGAACACCGAUUGCGAAGGCAGCUUACCAAUCUAUAUCUGACGUUGAGGCACGAAAGCGUGGGGAGCAAACAGGAUUAGAUACCCGAGUAGUC
rnacentral:rRNA from 1 species